AGAAUGAACGUUGGCGGCGUGGAUUAGGCAUGCAAGUCGAACGAAUCCCCAAGGGCUUGCUCUUGGGGGGAAGUGGCGAAAGGGGCAGUAAGGCAUGGGUAACUUUCCCGGGGGACUGGGAUAGCCUUCCUAACGGAAGGGUAAUACCGGGCGAUUCAACGGAGUGGCAUCACUCGGUUGGGAAAUGAAUUUCGCCUCCGGAAAGGCUCAUGUGGUAUUAGCUGGUUGGUGAGGUAACGGCUCACCAAGGCCAAGAUGCCUAGCAGGUGUGAGAGCACGACCUGCGUCACUGGCACUGCGACACUGGCCAGACUCCUACGGGAGGCUGCAGUCGAGGAUCUUCGGCAAUGGGCGCAAGCCUGACCGAGCGACGCCGCGUGUGCGAAGAAGGCCUUCGGGUUGUAAAGCACUGUCGAGGGGGAGGAAAGCCCGUAAGGGUUUGACUAAUCCCUGGAGGAAGCACGGGCUAAGUUUGUGCCAGCAGCCGCGGUAAGACGAACCGUGCAAACGUUAUUCGGAUUCACUGGGCUUAAAGGGCGCGUAGGCGGGUGAUCAAGUCAGGGGUGAAAUCCUUCAGCUUAACUGGAGCAGUGCCUUUGAUACUGGUCGUCUUGAGGGAGGUAGGGGCAUGUGGAACCUCCGGUGGAGCGGUGAAAUGCGUAGAUAUCGGAAGGAACGCCGGUGGCGAAAGCGACGUGCUGGAUCUCUUCUGACGCUGAGGCGCGAAAGCCAGGGUAGCGAACGGGAUUAGAUACCCCGGUAGUCCUGGCCCUAAACGAUGGGUACUGGAUUGUGGACUUGACAUGGGUUCACAGUCGAAGCAAAAGUGGUAAGUACC
rnacentral:rRNA from 1 species